CCUACGGGUGGCAGCAGUGAGGAAUAUUGGUCAAUGGACGCAAGUCUGAACCAGCCAUGCCGCGUGCAGGAAGACGGCCCUAUGAGUUGUAAACUGCUUUUGUACGAGGGUAAACGCAGAUACGUGUGUCUGUCUGAAAGUAUCGUACGAAUAAGGAUCGGCUAACUCCGUGCCAGCAGCCGCGGUAAUACGGAGGAUUCAAGCGUUAUCCGGAUUUAUUGGGUUUAAAGGGUGCGUAGGCGGUCGGAUAAGUUAGAGGUGAAAUCCCGAGGCUCAACUGCGGAAUUGCAUCUGAUACUGUUCGGCUAGAGAGUAGUUGCGGUAGGCGGAAUGUAUGGUGUAGCGGUGAAAUGCUUAGAGAUCAUACAGAACACCGAUUGCGAAGGCAGCUUACCAAGCUACGACUGACGUUGAGGCACGAAAGCGUGGGUAGCAAACAGGAUUAGAUACCCCUGUAGUC
rnacentral:rRNA from 1 species